rnacentral:tRNA from 1 species
UGGGGGAAUAGCGAAGUGGCUAAACGCGACGGACUGUAACUCCGUUCCUUCGGGUUCGUAGGUUCGAAUCCUACUUCCCCCAU